rnacentral:rRNA from 1 species
GACGAACGCUGGCGGCGUGCUUAACACAUGCAAGUCGAACGGAAAGGCCCUGCUUUUGUGGGGUGCUGGAGUGGCGAACGGGUGCGUAACACGUGUGCAACCUGCCCUUCACUUUGGGAUAGCUUCAGGAAACUGGGGUUACUCCAGGAUCGGAGCUCCCGUUGCAUUGUGGGGGUUGGAAAGUUUCGGCGGUUGAGGAUGGACUCGCGGCUGAUGAGCUUGCUGGUGGGGUAGUGGCUUACCAAGGCGUUGACGGGUAGCCGGCCUGAGAGUGUGACCGGGCACAUAGGGAUAGAGAAACGGCCCAGGCUCCAACUGGAGGCAGCGGUGGGGAAUAGUGCACAAUGGGCGGAAUCCUGAUACAGCAACGCCGCGUGCGAGAGGACGGCCUUCGGGUUAGAAACCGCUUUCGCCUGUGACGAAGCGUGAGGGACGGAAAUGGAGAAAGAGGCACCGGCGAACUACUU